rnacentral:lncRNA from 1 species
UUUCUUCUGACAAAUGAACAAGUGUUGCUUAUGCCAGGCAAGUUUAAAAGAUAGGGGGAUCAUCACUUCAGCCAUAUGCAGUGAGACUGCUACAGGGACAGCCGUACUGCAGCAUGGCCUUGCCUCCUGCUUCAGGCCAUCUGUGAGAGAUGGCAGAGGUGGGUUUGUGUUUGCUUGGGAU